rnacentral:rRNA from 1 species
GACGAACGCUGGCGGCGUGCUUAACACAUGCAAGUCGAACGGAAAGGCCCUGCUUUUGUGGGGUGCUCGAGUGGCGAACGGGUGAGUAACACGUGAGUAACCUGCCAUUGACUUUGGGAUAACUUCAGGAAACUGGGGCUAAUACCGGAUAGGAGCUCCUGCUGCAUGGUGGGGGUUGGAAAGUUUCGGCGGUUGGGGAUGGACUCGCGGCUUAUCAGCUUGUUGGUGGGGUAGUGGCUUACCAAGGCUUUGACGGGUAGCCGGCCGGAGAGGGUGACCGACCAGCUAGGGUGGGAGUGACGCCCGAGCCACCUUCGGGCGGGAGGAGGGGGUGAGGAAUACUGGAGGGUGGGGGCCAGCUGGAGCAAGCCAUGGGGCGGGAGUGAGGCCUGCGUUUGGGAAGCCGAUUUCUCUUGUGAGGAAGGGUAAGGGAGGGGAAGGGGGAAAAAAGCCCCGGUAAACUAGUG